rnacentral:rRNA from 2 species
UUGACGGGACCGCACAAGCGGUGGAUGAUGUGGAUUAAUUCGAUGCAACGCGAAGAACCUUACCUACCCUUGACAUGUCCGGAACUUGCCAGAGAUGGCUUGGUGCCCGAAAGGGAAUCGGAACACAGGUGCUGCAUGGCUGUCGUCAGCUCGUGUCGUGAGAUGUUGGGUUAAAGUCCCGCAACGAGCGCAACCCUUGUCAUUAGUUGCUACGAAAGGGCACUCUAAUGAGACUGCCGGUGACAAACCGGAGGAAGGUGGGGAUGACGUCAAGUCCUCAUGGCCCUUAUGGGUAGGGCUUCACACGUCAUACAAUGGUCGGGACAGAGGGUCGCCAACCCGCGAGGGGGAGCCAAUCCCAGAAACCCGAUCGUAGUCCGGAUUGCAGGCUGCAACUCGCCUGCAUGAAGUCGGAAUCGCUAGUAAUCGCGGAUCAGCAUGUCGCGGUGAAUACGUUCCCGGGUCUU